rnacentral:rRNA from 1 species
GUGAGGAAUUUUCCGCAAUGGGCGAAAGCCUAACGGAGCAAUGCCGCGUGAAGGAUGAAGGCCUAUGGGUUGUAAACUUCUUUUCUCAGAAAAGAAUUAUGACGGUAUCUGAGGAAUAAGCAUCGGCUAACUCUGUGCCAGCAGCCGCGGUAAGACAGAGGAUGCAAGCGUUAUCCGGAAUGAUUGGGCGUAAAGCGUCUGUAGGUUGUUUAAAAAGUAUUCUGUCAAAGAUUAGGGCUUAACCCUAGAUAGGCAGAAUAAACUUUUAAGCUAGAGUUUGGUAGAGGCAGAGGGAAUUCCCGGUGGAGCGGUGAAAUGCGUAGAUAUCGGGAGGAACACCAAAGGCGAAGGCACUCUGCUGGGCCAAUACUAACACUGAGAGACGAAAGCGAGGGGAGCAAAUGGGAUUAGAAACCCUAGUAGUCC